rnacentral:lncRNA from 11 species
AACAGAUUUAUUCAAUAAUUGUUAUGAAUUUAAAUCAUUGUUUCUUUGUUUCUAUCAAAAAAAUUAUAUCAAAAUCGAAACGAGUUGUUAACAAAAAUGGAUUUUAUAUUUUACGAGGAUAGAAAAUCAAUUUUUUGAAAAUUAAUUAUAUUAUUUUAUUGAAAUAUAAUUUUCACGAUAUUAUUAAAUAUCUUUAAAAUUACAGAUAUUUGGAUUGUUGUAUAUAUCGAAAUCAAUCAUUUUUUCGAUAAGAGAUUUAAAAAAAAAAAAAAAGAAAGAAAGAACGCUCGACGAUGCGUUCGAAAAAUAAUAAAAAUUCAACGAAGGAGGAACUUAUUGUUUGUACCACAAUUGAAUUUCAAUGGAUACGAUCGAUCGAAUCGGUGUCACAAUGCCGACCUCGCAAAACCGCGAAGUCUUUGGAUGAAUAUGGCAACAUAUUUGUGUGCUUUGAUAAUCAGGGUGAGAAACGUGUACGCAAACAGAGAGAGUUUAUCAUAAUUUUCGAGGUACAAGAACGAGAGAAUUAGAGAAAUUAUAUUUCACACACGAAAUUAAAUAUUUAAACAAAGGAAAUUUUAUUAAGAGAUUUAUCGAUGAUCGAUAAAUUAUUCUACUCUAGAUAGAAUGUGCAAGAAAAAGUACGUGUCCAGCUAACGACAGAUUUCUCACUUCUAUGAUUGCGACACUCUACUUACCUACUAGACGAGCGCACACGAACAAACGAUCUUUGGUCGGGUGUGUACGUACAUGUGCGAAUGCAAGUCCAAGAACGGAGGUAAAGGAACGAGGCGCAGAAUUCUUACCAGUUGUACGACUAGGUAUUUUGAAUCUUUUUUCCAAAGUCGUGAGGGUGACAACGAUGUAAAUAAAGGCCAUUGCCUGCACGGUGCCGAGGAGGCCGUACACCGCUAUGAAAUUUUUCGGGGUGGCACGAUCACGUAGCCAUCGGGGAUAAAUCCCACAAAUUCCACAACCUUGGCUCAUCCCUCCGACUGCACUGCAACAUUCAUAAUCCUUUCAGGAUCAAACUUUUCUAUAGAAUAAAAAAGAAAUUCUUUUCUAUCUAGGGAUCACUAGGAUCUAGGAAGAAAGAGAAAGUUCUUUCUUUUUAUCUAGGGAUCAUUAGGAUUCUUCAUAAGUUCUUCAGAAUCAAACCUGAACCAAAUCAAAUCUUUCUAGGAAAAAAAAAAAUUAUUCUUUUUCAUCUAGGGAUCACUAGGAUUUAGGAACAAAGAAAAAUUCUUCUUUAUCUGGAAAUAUAAAUUUUCUGUAAAUUUUAAAACAUUCUAGAUACACUCAAGAUACUUUGGUACGAUGAUUCAUAUACGUUUGCUUGAAAAUUAAAAUAGAUAAUUUUUUUUCUCUCUACGAAAGAAAAAAAAAAUGGAAAUCUUAUAAUUUGAUACGUUUAAAAAAUUUUGAAUAGAGGAAAAUUAUAUAUCAUAAAAUACGUAAUCAAAGUGAUUUGCAAAUUCACAGAAUUAUCAGAUGUAAUUAUAAAUAUAUACAAGUAUAAAAAUGAGAAGCUAACAAGGUCAUGAUUACAAUAAUUGCAUUAAUUUCUCUAUAAAAUCUUCACAUAUCUUCUUCAUGCGAUUUCUUCGGUAAGCGAUAAAUAUGUUAUCUAUAUCGUUAUAAACUAUUUAAUUGUUUUGUUAUUAGUCUAUUUCCUUCUAUCUCAUUGUUUCUUUCUCAUUUUUGUAGAUGUACAUUUUCGUUGUAAUAUUAACUUCUGGUUCAGAAUUCAGGAAUUCAGAAUUUUAAUAUAUGUCCAUUAUAAUUUGUAUUACCUUUUUAAAAAUAUUAUAUAAAUAAAAAAAGAGGAAGAGAAUUGGUUUAUUAUCAAUCUCUUCACGAGUCGUCCAACUUUAUUAAUACAAAUCCAAUCCAUUAAAUUAUCUAAUUGAUAACAAAAAUGAGGGGAAGGAUUAAGAUAACACAGAUGAAAAAUAAGCUACACGUGAAAAGUAACUUUCUUACGUCUAUCUUAUAACAUUUAACAUGUACAAAUAUAUAUAAUAUCCGAAAAACUUUGAAUCGACGAGAUCCUCUUUUCUCGUCGUGAUUUCAUGGAUAAACGUGGACGAACAUAAAUAUU